rnacentral:rRNA from 1 species
GUGCCAGCAGCCGCGGUAAUACGUAGGGGGCGAGCGUUGUCCGGAAUUAUUGGGCGUAACGCGCGCGCAGGCGGUCCUUUAAGUCUGAUGUGAAAGCCCACGGCUCAACCGUGGAGGGUCAUUGGAAACUGGGGGACUUGAGUGCAGGAGAGGAGAGCGGAAUUCCACGUGUAGCGGUGAAAUGCGUAGAGAUGUGGAGGAACACCAGUGGCGAAGGCGGCUCUCUGGCCUGUAACUGACGCUGAGGCGCGAAAGCGUGGGGAGCAAACAGGAUUAGAUACCCUGGUAGUCCACGCCGUAAACGAUGAGUGCUAAGUGUUAGAGGGGUCACACCCUUUAGUGCUGUCAGCUAACGCGAUAAGCACUCCGCCUGGGGAGUACGGCGAAGCAUGAAACUCAAAGGAAUUGACGG